rnacentral:rRNA from 1 species
CAGUCGCCGCGGGAAUACGUAGGUGGCAAGCGUUGUCCGGAAUUAUUGGGCGUAAAGGGCUCGCAGGCGGUUUCUUAAGUCUGAUGUGAAAGCCCCCGGCUCAACCGGGGAGGGUCAUUGGAAACUGGGAAACUUGAGUGCAGAAGAGGAGAGUGGAAUUCCAUGUGUAGCGGUGAAAUGCGUAGAGAUGUGGAGGAACACCAGUGGCGAAGGCGACUCUCUGGUCUGUAACUGACGCUGAGGAGCGAAAGCGUGGGGAGCGAACAGGAUUAGAUACCCCCGUAGUCCCUGUCUCUUAUAC